ensembl:snRNA U2 U2 spliceosomal RNA
AUCGCUUCUCGGCCUUUUGACUGAGAUCGAGUGUAGUAUCGUUCUUGUCAGUUUAAUAGGUAGAGACACUGAGACUUUGCUAGACACAGUAUACCAUCCUUGUUAAAAGCAAGUGAAUAGUCUUAUUUAUUCAUUUUAAAAAACAUCUUUUAAAAAAAUAUUUUAUUUAUUUUUUGAGAAGAGAGAAGAU